rnacentral:rRNA from 1 species
GAUGAACGCUGGCGGCGUGCCUAAUACAUGCAAGUCGAGCGAACAGACGAGAAGCUUGCUUCUCUGAUGUUAGCGGCGGACGGGUGAGUAACACGUGGAUAACCUACCUAUAAGACUGGGAUAACUUCGGGAAACCGGAGCUAAUACCGGAUAAUAUUUUGAACCGCAUGGUUCAAAAGUGAAAGACGGUUUUGCUGUCACUUAUAGAUGGAUCCGCGCUGCAUUAGCUAGUUGGUAAGGUAACGGCUUACCAAGGCAACGAUGCAUAGCCGACCUGAGAGGGUGAUCGGCCACACUGGAACUGAGACACGGUCCAGACUCCUACGGGAGGCAGCAGUAGGGAAUCUUCCGCAAUGGGCGAAAGCCUGACGGAGCAACGCCGCGUGAGUGAUGAAGGUCUUCGGAUCGUAAAACUCUGUUAUUAGGGAAGAACAUAUGUGUAAGUAACUGUGCACGUCUUGACGGUACCUAAUCAGAAAGCCACGGCUAACUACGUG